rnacentral:lncRNA from 1 species
AGGGUGUGUACAUCUAACCAUGAACCACAGAACACACACACACUUUAAAUACCAUUAUCAACUGUCAGAUGAUCCAACUCGGUUUCACUCAAUGACACCAUCAUGGAAUCCUCAGCACCGUUUUUUUUUUUUUUUUUUCCUAAAUGUUGCUCACUGCUUGGAAAUCCUGGGGCUGGGUGGAGAGAGGAUCCUUGAGAUCACUCACAACAUCACAGCAGUCCUGGGAGAGGACGUCUACCUGAGCUGUAGUUAUCUGGGCGAGAGUGAGAUCCAGAGUGCCGAGUGGAAACGCCAGAUUAACUCCAAAAUUACAUCCAAGCGACUGGCUGGAUUUUUUAAUGGCAAACCAUUUAGCCGCGAUAACAUCUCAAAGCCAGAGUCUCUCACCAACCUCACAGUUAAGAUGAAGGUGUCCAAUGUGGAAGCGGAGGGAGAAUACAUCUGUGAGUUUGAAUCAGAGGAAAACCAGUAUUCUGACCGUGUAUAUCUCACUGUCGUAGCUCGGCCAGAUGUACAGAUGCUGGUGAACGCAGAGACCAUAAACGGCUCUCAGUACCAGUCGGUGUCAUGCUCUGCGGUCGGUGGCCGGCCUCUGCCUCAAGUCAGCUGGUUAGUCGCCGGCCGACCUCCUUCAGAUGACACUUUUGCUGUGGGCGUGAGUGAAACCAUUCACUCAAACGGCACCUCCACUCUGAGCAGCAUCCUCCGCUUCCCCACGCACCUGCAGGACGAGGACAGCGUGACUUGUGUGGUCCAACACCCGACCCUCCCAGACCCCAAAGUCACCAUGGUCAGGGUGGAGACCUACACGAGGCCAAAUGUGAGCAUUAAAGCAGAGAUGGUACAACAAGGAGGAAGUGAGUUCUGGGUGGUCUCGUGCAUUUCAUCUGGAGGGAGACCUGACGCUGACAUCACCUUGGUUUUGAACAUCCAUGAAGAGCUGCAGAGAGAGAACGACACAGACUCGGACAUGCAGACAAGCUCAGUCGUCCUCCCUGCAACAGUGUAUGAGGGCCGUAAUGUCACUUGUGUGUUUGACCACCCCAAAUUUACACAGCAAGUGUCACGAGUCAUGACACUGCCGUCUUUUUAUUUGUCUGGAGUUCAGUUGAUGUACUCAGAGCUGGGAAGCAACAGUGAUGACCUUCAAGGCACUCCACCUUUAGAGGUGCAGGAAGGACGGAGAGACACCGUCAUCAGCCUGCAGGUCACUGGGAAUGUGCCACAUUACAACGUUACCUGCAUAAAGGAUGCCGGGCCCUUGCCUGACGGUGUGGAGCUGGUUGGCAGCAGCCUGACAGUUCAGGGUCCUGUGGAGCAUCAGCAUGCCGGCCUGUAUGAAUGCUUCUUCUCCUAUCACCAUCUUAAAACAACGCUGAAGUUUAAUGUCACAGUUAAACCUCAAGUUAUACGGCCUGUUCCUCCAACAAUUCGAGUCGACUUGCAGACUGAAGAUGGACACUGGGUGAUUGAGUGCUCAGCAGCUGAUGCUGUUCCUGCAGCCAACAUGUCCUGGCUUCUACCAGAGGGUCUGUCUGGACUCUCUUGGUUCAAUUUCACUUCUCAUAAUGGAAGCCACUCUGUCAGGGGAGUUUUACUCCUCCCUGCCUGCUUGCCUUGGGAGCUCACUGCGGAGUGUGUGAUAAAUCACCCUGCGUUUGAGGAACCUGAGAACAGAAGUGUCACCCUCCCUCUUUGCGCUCACCCUGAAAUCACCAUCAACUCCAGCACUGAGUGGAAAGACGGUGACGAGUUCACGAAGGUGGACUGCUCGGUGGACAGCGUUGCCCCUGCAGCAAUCAUAAGCUGGCGCGUUGGAAACGUGGACAACAGCAUCAGUUAUGUGUCUGAGACCGAAGUCCAGGCUGAUGGUUCGGUAUCGGCCCGGAGCUCCGCCCAUGUCUUGUCAUCUCUGUAUUCUGGUCAGAAUUUGACCUGCACAGUGGAGCAUCCAAGCCUGGAGGUGCCAGAGAAAAGAUCAAUACACGUUCUUGUGCACAAAGCCCCUCUGCUGAGUGUGUCUCUGGUGAGACAGCAGGACUCUCCUCUCUGGCUGGCAGUGUGCGACUUCACAGGCGAGGGUGUCGGGGCUGACCUCGCCUGGGUCCUUCCCGAAAAUGCCAAAGGCCAAACAUCCCUGCACUCAGAGUAUGAGGGCUUCGUCAUUAAAGCCAGACUUACAUAUCAGUUUCCUCUGGCCCGUCAUGAGGGGGAGGACCUGACCUGUGUGCAUCUUUUUGAACAUGGUGCCACAGAGAAAAAGUCCAUUCAUGUCCCCAGAUACCAUAUCUCCUCUGUGAGAGUCCUAAACCACACGACUCCUCUGCAAAGCCGCUACGGUGGUGAAAUCAUCACACACAGACUGGCUCUCCAGGAAAAACUUCACGACCAGAGAGUGCUGCUCCGAGUCGUAGGCAACGUGCCAGAGUACAACCUCAUCUGUAAAAGGAGUGACGGCUCAUUUGUCCAAAUGGACGGGCUUGCAAUGGUCUUCCAGUCAGAGCUCAAGGAGCAGGAUGAAGGCCUGUACAGCUGCCGGGCGUCCUUCUAUCACCACACAGCCACAGUCAACAUUCAAGUGGAGGUCACGGACGAGGACAAGCAGCUCGCACUUGCCGCCAUGAUCUGCAUUUCUUCGGCCUCGGCCAUCAUCCUCGUCCUCGUCGUCACCCUCUGGGUGUGCUGCAAAAGACAAAGCCGGUCACAAUAUAAGAAAAAGGAGUCUCUUGCUGCCUUGACAUCCCUGACGCAAGAUCCCGGCUCUCCUCAGGUGAAGAAGCCGGCGGGGACAGAACAUAACAAUAAAGAAUACGCUCAGAUGGUCAGUUACUCCAUCGUCCUUGACAUCAAGAGCGCAGUGUGAAGAUAAAAAAGAAUUUAGACGUACACAUUCUGCUUUGCAUUGUGCACAAACUAGAUAUGAAGGCUUACUGGAACUGCAGGAUUUAUCAUUUCAGUGUAUGUUCUUAUGAGUUCAGCAUUAUAAGUGAAACAAUCCUUUUUAUGUACUGAAAUGUGAGUUAUUCGCAAGGAUUUUUUGAAUGAUAGGCAUUACUGAUUUUAAAGCAUUACCUUUGCACUUCUUCAUCGACAAAAUUUUGUUUAUUUUUUAUGUUCAUUGCUGUUGUCAAUAAAAUCAUCCAAAUAUCUUUUUUUUCUAUUUUCAUCAAGUUGUCCCCACAUGACUGAACUAAAACAAACACCUAUAUCUCCAGAUAUAGAGAUAACUUUAGCUUCCCACCAUCUGCCCUUGUGGUAUCUUUGGUCGACUAAAUCAGUGAGGACCAUCUGCUGUGACAACCGGAGUUAACUCUAUAAAUACAUUCCCAUACAGUUCAUGUACCAGAUGCACACUCAUCCUCAUCUCAUCUGCCCACAUUGGGAUGCAGUGCUGUUACACCCUCUUGUGGCCAAUGAUCACGCAACUGAGCGGAUCAGGUUUUAGUCACGACCUCCAAGUCCGUGGUCGCUAUGAAAUUUAAGUUUUCACUUUUUUUCUCUUCGCUUCUUUUACAUGUAUAGC